rnacentral:rRNA from 1 species
CCUACGGGAGGCAGCAGUGAGGAAUAUUGGUCAAUGGACGAGAGUCUGAACCAGCCAAGUAGCGUGAAGGAUGACUGCCCUAUGGGUUGUAAACUUCUUUUAUAUGGGAAUAAAAUGUUCCACGUGUGGGAUUUUGUAUGUACCAUAUGAAUAAGGAUCGGCUAACUCCGUGCCAGCAGCCGCGGUAAUACGGAGGAUCCGAGCGUUAUCCGGAUUUAUUGGGUUUAAAUGGAGCGUAGGUGGAUUGUUAAGUCAGUUGUGAAAGUUUGCGGCUCAACCGUAAAAUUGCAGUUGAAACUGGCAGUCUUGAGUACAGUAGAGGUGGGCGGAAGUCGUGGUGUAGCGGUGAAAUGCUUAGAUAUCACGAAGAACUCCGAUUGCGAAGGCAGUUCACUGGACUGCAACUGACACUGAGGCUCGAAAGUGUGGGUAUCAAACAGGAUGAGAUACCCUUGUAGUC